CCUACGGGAGGCAGCAGUGGGGAAUUUUGGACAAUGGGCGAAAGCCUGAUCCAGCAAUGCCGCGUGAGUGAAGAAGGCCUUCGGGUUGUAAAGCUCUUUUGUCAGGGAAGAAACGGUGAAAGCUAAUAUCUUUUGCUAAUGACGGUACCUGAAGAAUAAGCACCGGCUAACUACGUGCCAGCAGCCGCGGUAAUACGUAGGGUGCAAGCGUUAAUCGGAAUUACUGGGCGUAAAGCGUGCGCAGGCGGUUUUGUAAGUCUGAUGUGAAAUCCCCGGGCUCAACCUGGGAAUUGCAUUGGAGACUGCAAGGCUAGAAUCUGGCAGAGGGGGGUAGAAUUCCACGUGUAGCAGUGAAAUGCGUAGAUAUGUGGAGGAACACCGAUGGCGAAGGCAGCCCCCUGGGUCAAGAUUGACGCUCAUGCACGAAAGCGUGGGGAGCAAACAGGAUUAGAUACCCUGGUAGUCCACGCCCUAAACGAUGUCUACUAGUUNUCGGGUCUUAAUUGACUUGGUAACGCAGCUAACGCGUGAAGUGACCGCCUGGGGUGGUAGUGNGAGAGUUAAACUUAGAAGAAGUUAGNGGCGNGAGAGNGCGACGGACGACGACGAGGGAGGAGG
rnacentral:rRNA from 1 species